rnacentral:rRNA from 1 species
UACAGAGGUGGCAAGCGUUGUUCGGAAUUAUUGGGCGUAAAGGGCUCGUAGGCGGUCCAUCGCGUCGGGAGUGAAAAGCUGGGGCUCAACCCCAGUCCUGCUUCCGAUACGGGUGGACUAGAGGUAGGCAGGGGAGAAUGGAAUUCCCGGUGUAGCGGUGAAAUGCGUAGAGAUCAUGAGGAAGACCAGUGGCGAAGGCGGGUCUCUGGACAGUUCCUGACACUGAGACACGAAGGCUAGGGGAGCAAACGGG